CCGGCGACCGGCGCACGGGUGAGUAACACGUAUGCAACCUGGCCGCCACAGGGGGAUAACCCGCGGAAACGCGGCCUAAUACCCCGUGACGCCACCGGAGGGCAUCCUCCGGUGGCCAAAGGAGCGAUCCGGUGGCGGAUGGGCAUGCGGCGCAUUAGCUAGACGGCGGGGUGACGGCCCACCGUGGCGACGAUGCGUAGGGGUUCUGAGAGGAAGGUCCCCCACACUGGUACUGAGACACGGACCAGACUCCUACGGGAGGCAGCAG
rnacentral:rRNA from 1 species